rnacentral:lncRNA from 1 species
GAGGCAGAAAUGGAGGUUGGGUCAGGCCUGGCUCAGACCCUAGGCUCUGUCACUGACUGGCUGUGUGGGUCCAGGAAAGUCCUUGUCCUCUCUGGGCCUCAGUUUCCUCUGAAGAAUGGGAGUGAUAAGCUAUGCCCCAUCUCCUUCACCAAAAGGAAGCAAGACCUGAUGGAGCUGCUGGGUAACUGGAGAUGCCUCCUGCUGGCUCCUUUCUGGGGUCCCUGCCUAGCCCUGUCCUCUCCUCUUACUUUCUGCCCUGGCUGAGUAGGCUGUGGCCAUGUGGUUACUGCCUUCUCUGGGCAUAGCUGAUUGCUUCAUAUGGCCUGACCUAAGGCUGCAUGUCCAAAGUCUGGUUGGUGGCCAGUCUAACUCACUUUUGAGAACCUGCACUAAAAGAGGUAGGGGGUGGGAAAAACUGGGCAGGCCAGCGGAGGUGGGGAGUGGCAGCUCUGAGACCUGAAGCCUCAGAACCAGCUCUCCUCCUCCUCUUCCUCCUCAAGAUGGACCUCAACUCACUGAACUCUGGUUCACUCUUUUGGUCCCAGAGCUAAUUCUUUGGUUGUUUAAGGUUUAGCAUAGGAGACCCCAAAGCAGCAAGGUUCUGGCCCUGGUUCUGCCACUUGCCAGCUCCACGCCCUCAGAUCAGUGGCUUCAGAGCCUCAACGUGCUCAGCUGUGAAACAGGGACAGGGUGAGGCCUUCCCAGGUAUGAUCCACUGUGCCCAUCCUGGAUGCAGACUUUAAGCAGAGUCACAUCAACAAGAAGAGCUGUGAAGGUCAGGGCAUGACCCACAGAUGCCCAAACACUGCACUGGAGGUCCAGGAAGAUUCUGCUGACAACGCAACCCUGAGCCAAGAUCUGAAGGAUAAGAGGGAGCUUAUAACAUGGAAGAAGGAACAGUAUUCCUGGCAAGUGGAACAGCAUGUGCAAAGGUCAGGUGGUAAGAGGGGCUUCAAGGACAGUCCUAUGGCUGGAGCAGAGUGAUUGAGGGCAUGUGAAAUGAGAGGUGGCCAGGGUGGCAGGCAGGGACUAGCCCAAUGGCCGUGAAAGGGAUGGGACUUUGGUCACUGUUUCGCAUUUCCAGAUGUUUACUAUGUGCCAGGCUUGGUACUAAAUGCUUUUCUGGAAUAUCUCACUAGAUUCUCACAUAGAUGAAGGGCUUGAUCUUAGAGAGGUUAGAUCCCUCAGCCGAGAGCCCACAGUGAGGAAGCCAUGGGGCCUGUGUCCCUGACUGCAAGACCUGUGCUCAGAACGGCCAGGCCACACAGACCUCAACUCUCACUACAACCUCCUGAAGUCGGUGUGGUUACUCUUCCCACUUUACAGAUGAGGACAUGGGCCCAGAGAGGUUAUGUGAGUGACACAGCUUGAAGGUGGAGUUAAGCCUGGGCAGUCUGGCUUCAGAGUGUCCACAGUCUCAACCACUGCCUCACAUGGCUUCUUAGAAAAUAUUAUAAAAAGAAGCUCGGGCUGCCAUGUGGAAAAGAAUGGAGAGGGGACAAUGACACAGCUGGGAGCAUGCUGUGAUGGUGUACAGCGGACACAUUCAGGAUGAGGUGAAACAGGCUGGCCCUGGUGAGAGGCUAGAUGGGGCUGGGAUGAGGGUGGAGACAAGUAGUCUUGGGGUUGGCUUGGUGCAGCUGGGGGGUGCGGGGAGUGUCUCUGAGGUGAGGCCGGGGGUAUGGGAACGCCAUGUUUGGUCUGGGACACGGUGGGCUUGGGAUGGCUACAGGACAGUGCAGUGGAGAGUCAAAAAGGCUGCUCGGACCCAGGUCUGGCGAGAUGGAAGCUGGAGGUCAGGUGAGCUGUCUAGGAGAGGGACAGAGUGGGAAGGAGAGGGUCUCGACUCGGCUUUCUUGCCAAAGGAGGGUUCCGAAAUGAGAAACUGUGGAAUCUAAGCUGGAGAGGAAGAAAGACGGAGAAUGAGUGAACGCACACGUGUGGGACAGAUAGAUGAAUAUUCAUGUCUUUGGCUCCUAUGUACCUGAGUCUUCUAAAGCUGCAGGCCAUACUACCCCCGGGAGGCUGCAGGGAUGCCAGCUGGGAGAUGAAUGCAACUCUGCUGCCUGGGCAUGGGCCUGAGUGAGGGUGCAGACCCCUGCCUGUGAUCAUCAGGGAGGGUGAUGAGAACAAGGUGGCUGACAGGGUGAGGCCCAAGCCUGGAGCUUACCCAGGUGCGGGGAUGGGAGGGUCAGAGACCUUUGGGGGGUCUUAGGGAGCUUCCCCAGCCCUAAAGGCACCGCAAGCUGCCACUUCACACUGACCUGGGCAUACGCAGCUGCAGGAUCCCUUGCUCGCUCUCUCACAAGCAAAUGUAGACUGCGCAACCAUCCUGACCACAGAUCCAGAAAGCCCAGGACAUAACAGAGCCGCAGUGCCUGCCCUGAUCCACGCGCACACAGAUCUAGCCCAGGAACAAGCCCAUCCACGGAGUGAGCAGCUGACAGGGGAGCCACGAACAGCCUGGAGAGCUGAGCAUGGGCCUGCUCCACACUCCAGCGGGGCCCGAGGCCCCCGGGAACUCUACCCCUCCUGGCAGCCUCACAGAACCUGCUGCAUCCAUCUCAAAAGGCAUACCUCCUCCAGGAAGCCUUCCCCGCUGCUCAGAGGUCUUAAAUCCGGGGUCUGCACUCACAAACUGUGCAGCCUACACCAGCUUCUGGGGGACAGCAGAACACUGUGGGGGGCCUGGCACAGUCCCUGGCACACGGUAGGCACUCAUCGAGCCCCUGCCAGCCCCUCUACUCCUGACUUCUGAGGCAACAGGAAAUGACCCGCCACCUUGUUCUCACAGAGCCUCCCUGCCAGCCCAGAUGGUCACAAGGGCCUCCUGGGAUGCUGCCCACCUUGGCAGCCAGGCCCCUCCGGAGGGGCCAGUCUGGGCCUGACACCCCCGAACACCAACCCCCUGGGCAGAGCCUGCCUGUGCCUGGGUGAGGAACCCUGCAGUCUCCUUGCCACACAAGGCCUGGGUCUGCCUUGGGGCCCAGGCUGCACCCUC